rnacentral:rRNA from 1 species
GAUGAACGCUGGCGGCGUGCUUAACACAUGCAAGUCGAACGGGACUGUAUUGACGAGAGUCUUCGGAAAGGAAUUGAUGCAGUUUAGUGGCGGACGGGUGAGUAACGCGUGGGUAACCUGCCCUGUACAGGGGGAUAACAGCUGGAAACGGCUGUUAAUACCGCAUAAGCGCACGGGAUCGCAUGAUUUUGUGUGAAAAACUCCGGUGGUACAGGAUGGACCCGCGUCUGAUUAGCUUGUUGGCGGGGUAACGGCCCACCAAGGCGACGAUCAGUAGCCGGCCUGAGAGGGUGAACGGCCACAUUGGGACUGAGACACGGCCCAA